CCUACGGGGGGCUGCAGUGGGGAAUAUUGGACAAUGGGGGGAACCCUGAUCCAGCGACGCCGCGUGAGUGAAGAAGUAUUUCGGUAUGUAAAGCUCUAUCAGCAGGGAAGAAAAUGACGGUACCUGACUAAGAAGCCCCGUCUAAAUACGUACCAGCAGCCGCGGUAAUACGUAGGGAGCAAGCGUUAUCCGGAUUUACUGGGUGUAAAGGGAGCGUAGACGGCAGCACAAGUCUGGAGUGAAAUGCCGGGGCUUAACCCCGGAACUGCUUUGGAAACUGGGCAGCUAGAGUGCAGGAGAGGUAAGUGGAAUUCCUAGUGUAGCGGUGAAAUGCGUAGAUAUUAGGAGGAACACCAGUGGCGAAGGCGGCUUACUGGACUGUAACUGACGUUGAGGCUCGAAAGCGUGGGGAGCAAACAGGAUUAGAUACCCGGGUAGUC
rnacentral:rRNA from 1 species